GCAUAUUGUCUCAGCUCGUGUCGUGAGAUGUUGGUUAAGUUCCGCAACGAGCGCAACCCUUGAUCUUAGUUGCCAACAUGCAGUUGGGCACUCUAAGGUGACUGCCGGUGACAAACCGGAGGAAGGUGGGGAUGACGUCAAAUCAUCAUGCCCCUUAUGACCUGGGCUACACACGUCCUACAAUGGAUGAUACAGAGGGUUGCCAACCCGCGAGGGGGAGCUAAUCCCAUAAAACCAUUCCCAGUUCGGAUUGCAGUCUGCAACUCGCCUCCAUGAAGCCGGAAUCGCUAGUAAUCGUGAU
rnacentral:rRNA from 1 species